rnacentral:rRNA from 1 species
UACGUAGGGGGCAAGCGUUGUCCGGAAUUAUUGGGCGUAAAGCGCGCGCAGGCGGUCUUUUAAGUCUGAUGUGAAAGUCCAUGGCUCAACCAUGGGAUUGCAUUGGAAACUGGGAGACUUGAGUGCAGUAGAGGAGAGUGGAAUUCCUGGUGUAGCGGUGAAAUGCGUAGAGAUCAGGAGGAACACCAAUGGCGAAGGCAGCUCUCUGGACUGUAACUGACGCUGAGGCGCGAAAGCGUGGGUAGCAAACAGG